GUUGUUUUUUAAUUCCGUUAUUUUGUUUUACCUUUCUCGGAAAGACGUUGUUGAUGAGAAACUUCCUGAACGCCAGAGCUGUAUGUACAAACUCCUUGCAUUACAUGUAACAGACAAGUUGAAUCAGAUAGAGAUCAGAUAGAGCAAAACAUUUUGUGUUUCUGGUUUCUCCGUCAAAUGUAGCAUGUAGACUUCACUUGAGGAACCUUCAAUCUAAAGCCUCCAAGUUCCAGACUCUUUGUUCAUUUUCACCACAGAUCAAGACUCUUGUUUUCCAGUUUCUUUGUUCUUCUUUCCUGUUCCUAUCUCGUCAGGGAGUCAUUCUUUGCGGUGAAUGACAGGAAAGGGCCUGGUGAAUUCUCCUGGAGAAUCGACAUGUAGUCAAAUGAUAGUGAUCCACAUCCAGGGGCCAGACCUAUUCAUCUGUUCUAACGUGUGGUGGAGGUGGAGUGGGGAUGCUGCUGUUGAGAAAGCUCUGAAAACAUCUCAGCAGUCAGAGACUGACUUCUUAUCAGUGAGAAGAGUACCUUUUCAUAUGCCAACACAUGUACUACUUACUUUUUUAUUUUUUACAUAGCCCUCCCUCCCUCCACACACACACACACACACACACACAAUUUAUGUGUUGAAACAAACAGGAAUAAAAGGUGACAAUCUGUACUUUCGCCUCAUUAAUCUUUCAAUCAUAUUUUCAUAGUGUGCGCAUUGAGAGUGCCACAAAAUAACCAUUCUGACUUUAUUGUCCCAAUAUAUAUGGAGGGCACUGUUUGAACAAAAUGUGCUGUUUUUAGAAGGUUAAUAUGAUUGAGUGAAUAUAACCCUAACCCUCAAAAGCUGACAUGCUUUACUUUAACCCUAUAAUAUCUAAUCCAACGUGCUGGAGCACAGACCUAAAACCUGAAAACGUGUUUUUAUGUCCAGAUACUUAUGGACUGUACUGGAUCUUAAGAUAGCUGGGGGGAGUAACCACAUAACCCUUCAACAGUGUGUGGAGAGGACACCUAGAUACUCUUUAAAAGGUAGUUCUAAAGCUAUCCCGGAAAAAACUGUAAAAUUAUGUAAAUAAUAUAAUAAACGUGUGUAUUGUGAUCAGCUUGUCAAAUAAAACUGUCAGAGUUUGGUUGGUUUCAUUUGGUUAAACUUGUUACUUCCCCUUGCUGCGAAUGAACCAACUUCAAAGGAUUCUGAAGCCUUCAGUAAAACUACACAGGAAGUCACCCUCUGCAGAUGUUACCACAUGAACAUAUGAGAGACCUGAUAGCAGGUACAAUCUCCGAUGUCACUUCCCC
ensembl:lncRNA